rnacentral:rRNA from 1 species
CCUACGGGAGGCAGCAGUGGGGAAUAUUGGGCAAUGGGCGCAAGCCUGACCCAGCAACGCCGCGUGAAGGAAGACGGCUUUCGGGUUGUAAACUUCUUUUGACAGGGAAGAGCAGAAGACGGUACCUGUCGAAUAAGCCACGGCCAACUACGUGCCAGCAGCCGCGGUAAUACGUAGGGGGCAAGCGUUGUCCGGAUUUCCUGGGUGUAAAGGGCGUGUAGCCGGGCUGACAAGUCCGAUGGGAAAUCCGGGGGCUCAACCCCCGAAGUGCCUUUGAAACUGGUGGUCUUGAGUAUCGGAGAGGCAUGCGGAAUGCGUAGUGUAGCGGUGAAAUGCGUAGAUAUUAGGAGGAACACCAGUGGCGAAGGCGGCCUGCUGGACGACAACUGACGGUGAGGCGCGAAAGCGUGGGGAGCAAACAGGAUUAGAUACCCUUGUAGUC